CAGCUCGCAAUAGAUCGUGGCCCACCCAUGAUCCUCCAUCCCGUUCCUCCUGCCAGCGAAACAGAUCCUCGCUCCAUCCUUCCUCCCGCCGGCGAUCCGCCCUCCCCCGUAACUUCCUGCGCCGCCCUCCCCCGUGCCUUCCUGCCUCGCCGGAUCUCGCCCCGCCGCUGCAACACCCUGCUCCGCCGGCUGCCAUCGGCGGGCUUCCCGUCGGUGACCCUCGGGCUACCCCGCGAAGGGUUGCGCGGCCGGCCCCCCUCUCGACCCGGCGAGGGUGCUCGCGAUCCCCCCCCCCCCCCGGCGACCCUCUGGUGAGGCGCGGUCCUGUCGCCCCCUCCUCCCUCUCGCCGUCCGGCGAGGUCCUACGCCGCCGGCUACCUGCAGCCUCUUGACGUCAGCGCGUCCCCCGCUGUCCUGUGAGGUACCCCACAUGCUCCCCAAUUUCUUGCGUCUCUAUCCCCGCCGGCGUCUAUCUGGUGAGGCGGGGCUACUGUUCUCCCCAUCUCGCUGGCCCGCCGAGCCCCUGCGCCGACGGCCCCCGUGCCCCCCCCCCCCCCCCCUGUCGAGCUGCAGCUUGAUGGCGUCUGUGCCGGCCACCGUUCAGAGAGGAACCUCCCGCCUGCUCCACCGGCGAGACCCUGCCAAAGCUCCCCAAGUUUCCUCUGCUUCCCGUCGCCACCGCCCAUCGCCGUUUCCCACCAAAGCUCCUGCAGCAGCCCCUCUCCACUGCGCGAAGGGACAUCAGUAGCAUGUCUCGAACCCCUGGUCGGCGACACUCGAUCUUGGAUGAAUCGUUAAUGAGCACUCGCUGCCUCAAGGUCGCAGGUUGGCGCAAUAUGCAGAUUCAUGAUCCUUUUCCCUGUUUCCUUGUUUCGGUGUUCUUCAUUUUUUUUCUCUUUCCUGCUCUUGUUAGUGUACGCACUUGCCUCUGACUGAUUGGUAUCUCUCUGCAAGAUGGGGGAUCGAUCCUGCUGCCUAUGCAUUUGCUUGACCAACGAGGCAGAUGCUUUGAGGCCCUCGCCCCAACCUCAACUAGCUCUGAUCUAUGAAUACAGCCUGUAGAACACCGUCUAGUAAUGGUGUUGAGCGCCAACACCAUCCUUUUUAGUAGUGCUUCAAUGCUUCAUUUUAUUUUAGCUGUUGCAUCAUACGUGUUCUGCGAACUGCUCUCUUGUGGGACUUAUAUUUUAAUUGAAUACUACUUCAACUCACAAUGUAAAGGUUGGAUUAGUCAAUCCCAUUGCUUUGCUAACUGAACCAGCAUUUGGUUAGUGUUCUGAAAUCUUGUUGACAGUUUUCUCUCAUCUUAACUUGCUAAUACUGAACUUCAUGCUUAGUUUUUUUUUUGUUGCGGAUUUGUGCAAUUGAUGAUAAUGCUAGAUUAGCCAUAUGUUCUUGCAGCUUAGGUGCAGCCUUUUCCUCCGGAGGCAUCUCUAUGGCAAUGCUUUUCGUGAACAAAGAGUUCUUGACUGUACAGCAAAUAGCCACAUCGCUUCUGAAGUUCUGAUACAUUUUGGUCAAGUUCUAUGAAUGUCAAACGAAAAGACUCCAGCUUGAUAACAGUAAAGAAGUUUCUUCUGGUGACAUUACCAACAUAGAGUGAGGAGAAGAAUGUGGAAGGCCACCAGGGAGGUUGCCAAUUGAAACGAUAUAGGAUCUGCAAAGGUGUGACUAGAUAAUAUUACAUGUUAUUUUAUUUCAGUUCAUCAGCUCCUGAGGACCUGAACACAUAUCACAAAUCCACUGAAGAGGAAUCGUAGGAAUGCUUCUGGACAGUUGCAGCAGGUAUCUCUACUAUCUGAAUUGUGUAUACUACCAUAGCAGUAGGCCUGUAGCAGGCGAUCGCGCAUUCUGGAACCGGGAGGAGUUGCCUGCUUGCCGUAAUGUUUUUUUUUUACUUUAAUCUGUAGUUAGUACCAUUGAACACUAGAUCAUAUGGCUUAUUUUGUACUUCUGUUAAGGACACUAUAUUUCUGAACAUUAGAUGGCUUAUCACCCCACUCAAUCUUUGCCAACAAAGUAUCCUUUGAGCUGAACUUUUGUCAUAUGCUCCAUCACACAUGGGAAUAUUUGUGACAACUUUAUUAUGAAUCACUCCAUGUUAGAAGGUAGCUAGAUUUUUGCAUCUAUGCAUGUCAUUAUUUUUUAUGAAGUAACAAACUCUAAGAUAAGUUGCAUGUAAACCUUAGUUAAAGUACGAAAGUAUGCCAAAUGGAGCUCAGUCUCCCAUUCAAUCAAGCUAGCACUCUAAGAAAGUUCUUUUUUGAGUGCUUGUGAUUUCAUCCUUUCCGAGUGAGUCUUCGGCCCUAAAGCUUUCGUAAGCUAAGGCGAGAGAUUUCCUACUUUGACCACUGCUGUGACCGCUUUAUGCAAGUCCACUUAGGCAAGCCGGGUGAGGAAUCUCCUCCCGUUUCGUGUAGUGAACGCACCAAGAAAAGCCUUUUAAGCUCAUUUUCAAAACUGGGUCAAGCGGCGCAUUAAAAAGGGCUGGCCCUAGAAUCUGAGGAAAAGAAGAAAUGUCCUUUUUUCACAUGUGACAUUAUAUGUGAAAAUGUUCUCUUGUUAUAGUGUGUCUAUUGCAGGUGCAAUGACUAAGAUGAGGUCGCAAGAAAACUUCAAUAGUGGAUACACGAGCAUAGAUUACAGCGAGCUCAGUAUGAUAUGUCCCUGAUCCACGAGGAUAAACUACACUGUAUCAUUUAGGUGUACACAUUUAGCAUUUUGUUUUCCUGAAACUAAGUCUGCAAAUGGCCAUGUGUAUGGGUCAGAAGCUUGCUGAAAUGGUUGUACGGGUCAGAAUCUAGCUGAAAUGACAAGAUGGGCCUUGAGACAGAUACAGAUAGAGAAUAAAUUAGAUUUAUCGUUCAAUUUGUA